rnacentral:rRNA from 1 species
UACGGAGGGGGCAAGCGUUGUUCGGAAUUACUGGGCGUAAAGGGCGCGCAGGCGGCUGCUCAAGUCAGGCGUGAAAGGCCUGGGCUCAACCCGGGAAUUGCGCUUGAGACUGGGCUGGCUUGAGUGCGGGAGAGGAUGGUGGAAUUCCCAGUGUAGAGGUGAAAUUCGUAGAUAUUGGGAAGAACACCAAUGGCGAAGGCAGCUCGCUGGGACGGUACUGACGCUGAGACGCGAAAGCGUGGGGAGCAAACAGG